rnacentral:rRNA from 1 species
UUGAACGCUGGCGGCAGGCCUAACACAUGCAAGUCGAGCGGAUGAAGGGAGCUUGCUCCUGGAUUCAGCGGCGGACGGGUGAGUAAUGCCUAGGAAUCUGCCUGGUAGUGGGGGAUAACGUCCGGAAACGGGCGCUAAUACCGCAUACGUCCUGAGGGAGAAAGUGGGGGAUCUUCGGACCUCACGCUAUCAGAUGAGCCUAGGUCAGAUUAGCUAGUUGGUGGGGUAAAGGCCUACCAAGGCGACGAUCCGUAACUGGUCUGAGAGGAUGAUCAGUCACACUGGAACUGAGACACGGUCCAGACUCCUACGGGAGGCAGCAGUGGGGAAUAUUGGACAAUGGGCGAAAGCCUGAUCCAGCCAUGCCGCGUGUGUGAAGAAGGUCUUUGGAUUGUAAAGCACUUUAAGUUGGGAGGAAGGGCAGUAAGUUAAUACCUUGCUGUUUUGACGUUACCAACAGAAUAAGCACCGGCUAACUUCGUG